CCGGGGAGCCGGGCAGCCGCGUCCGUCCGCAAGGAUGGCCGAGGAAAGUCCGGGCUCCACGAAACAUGGGUGGCGGGUAACGCCCGCCCGGGGAAGCCUUCGGGCCGAACCCGAGGGAAAGUGCCACAGAGAGCAAACCGCCGAUGGCCCGCUUGCGGGCACAGGCAAGGGUGAAAGGGUGCGGCAAGGGCGCACCGGGGUUCCGGCAACGGCGCCCGCACGGCAAACCCCACCCGGAGCAAGACCGCAUAGGGGUCUCGCGCCUUUCGGGGCAACGGCGUUUCGCCGCGAGAGACCCGGGUUGGUCGCUGGAGCGGCGGGAGCGAUCCCCCGCGUAAGAUGAAUGGCUGCCCCCGCGGCGCUGAUAGGUUCUAUAUCGGUCGCGGGACAGAACCCGGCUUACAGGCUCCCCGGCACU
rnacentral:RNase_P_RNA from 2 species